rnacentral:tRNA from 1 species
GCGGGAGUAGCUCAGCCUGGUAGAGCAUUUGGUUCCCAACCAAAGGGUCGCGGGUCCGAAUCCCGUCUCCCGCU